rnacentral:lncRNA from 1 species
GGACAGGAACUCAGAUCUGAGAACAUCUUCAAUCAUAACCCAUCCUAUCAAGUCUAAUCCAAACAUCAUAAGACUGAGAUACUGUUCCGAGUACAAUUUCUCAUCCUGGUAACAUCUUCGUCAAGUCACAGGUUGGGAAAUAUCUUACCAGAGUCACAAGGGGGAGAUUUCUAUAUUUCCUUCCAGCAACUCAUUUGCCAUUUAAGAAACAAGCUUUAAACUCAUAAAGUGACCGUGGAUUAUUUAGAAUUUAAUGAAUCCAUUUUCCCAAUACUGCUGAUUAGAAUCAGGAAUUCCUACACAGUUCUGUAUUAUUCUAUUCCAUCAAAACAUGUCACUGGCUUUGAAAAGCGUAUUUUGGGUAUCUAUUUUACAAAAGAUUUCUCAGCUACUUACCAGCUGCAUGCGCUCUGCUUCUCCACCAGCUCUGAGGCUGUCGCACUGAAGGGGGGGCGGGAAAGCGGCAGCAGCCACUUGAAAAUGAGCUGUGCUCUGAAGAAGGGAUUAGCUCUGUGGAAAGAAAUGAAAUGCCUUGGGAUUAUCCUCCAAUUCCUCCAAAAACACAGAAUCAUUUUAAGUAUCACAUGCUAAAAAGUACAUGCUCAUCACAGAACUGAUUUUAGUAGCAAAACUUCUUAUCUAAAACACAGUUAAAUUGCCUUGGUUUCCAGUGGAACCCCUACAAUGUCAUGGACUUUUGGCUCUCCCGUCUCCUGGCAACAGUCUCAUUAAUAUUUUUUUUUCUGCAGUGGUCCUACUAGGCAUCAGAGAACAUUGACAAGGUCUAGUCUCUGGUGGCAUUUUGUUGUUCAGUACGUGUUUUCCCCCACACAAGUAAUAAGGAGAGUCAGACAUUCAAUAACAUGUUCUCUAGAGGAAGAUUCUGGAUUGGAAUGCAUUCCAUUCAAAUGAUUUGUUCUGCCCUCCCUUGGUGCAGUGUUGCCAUUAGGCCCCUGACCUGAAGAUGGGUCUCAGCAAAAGAUGCCUAACUCCUUCUGCAAUCCUCCAAUUACACGCAGAAAUUCAGGCCCAGACCCAGUGUUGUUAUUAUCUACUCUGCUCAGAAAAAAAAUGCACAGAGUUCACCUGUGUCCUCAGCUCUAUCAUCAUGACCCCCACCUGUCAGCAUGGCUACUGGAGCCUCAAUCUUAGGCCAGAUCCUAUGGUCUCUCCUUCCCUACAUGCAACAUGUUGCCAUGAGACACUGUCAUGCUGCUUGCCUACAGUCUCCCUACUCUGGCUACAGAAUGGACCACACUUCAGACAAAUGGACUACAGCAGGCUCAGCCACAGUUUGGCAAAGCACCAACAACCCAGGAGAGCUGGGCAAAUGGCCAAACAAUUUCAGACUAUAAUGCUUAAUCUUCUCAUAGCAAUUUAGUGAGGCAUGGGUAUGAAUUAGUAUUAUCCUCCAAUGUGACAUAAGGUGCAAAGACCCCAGAAAUAAUAGUAAUAGUGGCAAAAAGAGGCUGGGAGCCAGAUUACAGAGACUGAACAAGCAGAGAGAUAAGGAAACAGGAAGGAAGCAAGGCUAAGAAGGAAAAAGUAGUGCUUAGGUCCAGCCAUAUGAACUCUGGUUCUCUGGCAGGACUUCUGCUAAAGAAGAAUAACUUUUAGGAAAAAAGCAAAACCCUAGUCCUGAAGAUGGUGAAGACACGCAAGGGAUUCAGUCAGUAGCACAAAGAACAG